rnacentral:rRNA from 1 species
UACGGGGGGGGGCAAGCGUUGUUCGGAAUUACUGGGCGUAAAGGGCUUGUAGGUGGCCAACUAAGUCAGACGUGAAAUCCCUCGGCUUAACCGGGGAACUGCGUCUGAUACUGGAUGGCUUGAGUGUGGGAGAGGGAUGCGGGAAUUCCAGGUGUAGCGGUGAAAUGACGUAGAUAUCUGGAGGAACACCGGUGGCGAAGGCGGCAUCCUGGACCAUUACUGACACUGAAAAGCGAAAGCCAGGGGAGCAAACGGG